rnacentral:ncRNA from 1 species
AAAGACUUAGUCCUAACCUUACUGUUAGUUUUUACCAGAUAUAUACAUGCAAGUAUCCGCACCCCAGUGUAAAUGCCCUUAACCUCUUACAAAGACAAAAGGAGCCGGCAUCAGGCUCACAUUGCUAUCGCCCAAGACGCCUUGCUUUGCCACACCCCCACGGGCAUUCAGCAGUAAUUAACAUUAAGCAAUGAGUGUAAACUCGACUUAGUCAUGGUAAUACUUAGGGUUGGUAAAUCUUGUGCCAGCCACCGCGGUCAUACAAGAAACCCAAAUUAACCGUCACACGGCGUAAAGCGUGGCCCACACUCGUAUCGCAAUAACUAGGGUAAAAAUGCAACUAAGCUGUCAUAAGCUCAAGAUUCACAUAACCCCGCUAUUAAAACAACCCUAGCACUAUCAAGACUCAACCCCCGCCACGAAAGCCAGGGUACAAACUGGGAUUAGAUACCCCACUAUGCCUGGCCCUAAAUCUAGAUGCCCACUACCCACCAAAGCAUCCGCCAGGGAAUUACGAGCACAAACGCUUGAAACUCUAAGGACUUGGCGGUACCCCAAACCCACCUAGAGGAGCCUGUCCUAUAAUCGAUAACCCACGAUACACCCAACCACCCCUAGCCCGAGCAGCCUACAUACCGCCGUCGCCAGCCCACCUCCAUUGAAAGCCCCACAGUGAGCGCAAUAGCCCCUCGCUAGCAAGACAGGUCAAGGUAUAGCCAACGGGGUGGAAGAGAUGGGCUACAUUUUCUAAAAUAGAAAACCACGAAAGGAGACAUGAAACCGUCGCCGGAAGGCGGAUUUAGCAGUAAAAUGGGACAAGAAUGCCCCCUUUAAGCCGGCUCUGGGGUACGUACAUACCGCCCGUCACCCUCCUCACAAGCUACCAAUAACAUAACUAAUACCCAACCCAGCUGAAGACGAGGUAAGUCGUAACAAGGUAAGUGUACCGGAAGGUGUACUUAGCACAC